rfam:Bipolaris zeicola 26-R-13 unplaced genomic scaffold scaffold_231, whole genome shotgun sequence.
GCAUCGUUGGUCCAGCGGUAGGAUAAUUGCUUCCCAAGCAAUUGGCUCGGGUUCGACUCCCGGACGACGCA